rnacentral:rRNA from 1 species
UUGGCUUGGAAGCAGCCAUUCAUUUAAAGAGUGCGUAACAGCUCACUAGUCGAGCGAUCUGGCGUGGAUAAUAAUCGGGCAUAAACGAUCUGCCGAAGCCGUGGAUGUCGUAAGACAUGGUAGGGGAGCAUUCCAUGCGGCGUCGAAGAUGAGGGAUGACCCUUGUUGGAGCGCAUGGAAAAGCAAAUGUAGGUAUGAGUAACGAUAAGGGGGGCGAGAAACCCCCCCGCCGAAAGACCAAGGUUUCCUGAUCAACGCUAAUCGGAUCAGGGUGAGUCGGGACCUAAGGCAAAGCCGAACGGCGCCGCCGAUGGAAGAAUGGGUUAAUAUUCCCAUACUGCCUCAUGGAGUGACGUGGAGACGGAGAAGUGACAGUCCUGCCGGCUGACGGAAUAGCCGGUUGAAGGGUGUAGGAGUCGAUCAUGGUAGGCAAAUCCGCCGUGAGAUCCGAACCUGACAGUAUACUGAGCGCUUGCGCGACGUAAUAUGGACGUAACCAUGCUCCCAAGAAAAUCCGCUAAACUUAUCCAUGCGGCACCCGUACCGUAAACGGACACACGUGGUCGGGUUGAGAAUACUGAGGCGCUCGAGUGACUCACGGUUAAGGAACUAGGCAAAUUGACCCUGUAACUUCGGGAUAAAGGGUCCUCGUCGUAAGGCGAGGCGCAGAGAAUAGGUCCAGGCAACUGUUUAACAAAAACACAUGGCUGUGCUAAAUGGAAACAUGACGUAUACAGCCUGACACCUGCCCGGUGCUGGAAGGUUAAGAGGAGAUGUCAUCGCAAGAGAAGCAUUGAAUUGAAGCCCCAGUAAACGGCGGCCGUAACUAUAACGGUCCUAAGGUAGCGAAAUUCCUUGUCGGGUAAGUUCCGACCUGCACGAAUGGUGUAAUGAUCUGGACGCUGUCUCAACCGUGAGCUCAGUGAAAUUGUAGUAUCGGUGAAGAUGCCGAUUACCCGCGAUGGGACGAAAAGACCCCGUGAACCUUUACUAUAGCUUUACAUUGAAUUUGGGCAGACGAUGUGUAGGAUAGGCCGGAGGCUUUGAAGGGGGUACGCCAGUAUCCUUGGAGCCGCUGUUGAAAUACGACCCUUCAUUUGUUUGGAUUCUAACCCGUGUAUAUGGGGACACUGAUUGGUGGGUAGUUUGACUGGGGUGGUCGCCUCCAAAAGCGUAACGGAGGCUUCUAAAGGUGCCCUCAGACCGAUUGGUAACCGGUCGUAGAGUGUAAUGGCAUAAGGGCGCUUGACUGGGAGAGAUACAACUCGAUCAGGUAGGAAACUAGAGCAUAGUGAUCCGGUGGUUCCGCAUGGAAGGGCCAUCGCUCAAAGGAUAAAAGGUACUCCGGGGAUAACAGGCUGAUCAUUCCCAAGAGCUCAUAUCGACGGAAUGGUUUGGCACCUCGAUGUCGGCUCGUCACAUCCUGGGGCUGGAGAAGGUCCCAA